GAUGAACGCUGGCGGCGUGCUUAACACAUGCAAGUCGAACGGUGAACGAGGGAGCUUGCUCCCUCCGGAUCAGUGGCGAACGGGUGAGUAACACGUGAGCAAUCUGCCCUGGACUCUGGGAUAAGCGUUGGAAACGACGUCUAAUACCGGAUACGAGGCGUGGGGGCAUCCCCAACGCCUGGAAAGAACUUCGGUCCAGGAUGAGCUCGCGGCCUAUCAGCUAGUUGGUGAGGUAACGGCUCACCAAGGCGACGACGGGUAGCCGGCCUGAGAGGGUGACCGGCCAAACUGGGACUGAGACACGGCCCAGACUCCUACGGGAGGCAGCAGUGGGGAAUAUUGCACAAUGGGGGCAACCCUGAUCCAGCCAUGCCGCGUGCGGGAAGAAGGCCUUCGGGUUGUAAACCGCUUUUGUCGGGGAAGAAACGGUCUGCGCUAAUACCGCGGACUAAUGACGGUACCCGAAGAAUAAGCACCGGCUAACUAC
rnacentral:rRNA from 1 species